UACGGGGGGGGCAAGCGUUGUUCGGAAUUACUGGGCGUAAAGGGCUCGUAGGCGGCCAACUAAGUCCGACGUGAAAUCCCCAGGCUUAACCUGGGAACUGCGUCGGAUACUGGAUGGCUUGAAUUCGGGAGAGGGAUGUGGAAUUCCAGGUGUAGCGGUGAAAUGCGUAGAUAUCUGGAGGAACACCGGUGGCGAAGGCGGGUCUGCUGGGCCGUAACUGACGCUGAGGAGCGAAAGCAUGGGGAGCGAACAGG
rnacentral:rRNA from 1 species